UGGGGAAUAUUGGACAAUGGGCGAAAGCCUGAUCCAGCCAUGCCGCGUGUGUGAAGAAGGUCUUCGGAUUGUAAAGCACUUUAAGUUGGGAGGAAGGGCAUUAACCUAAUACGUUAGUGUUUUGACGUUACCGACAGAUUAAGCACCGGCUAACUCUGUGCCAGCAGCCGCGGUAAUACAGAGGGUGCAAGCGUUAAUCGGAAUUACUGGGCGUAAAGCGCGCGUAGGUGGUUUGUUAAGUUGGAUGUGAAAUCCCCGGGCUCAACCUGGGAACUGCAUUCAAAACUGACUGACUAGAGUAUGGUAGAGGGUGGUGGAAUUUCCUGUGUAGCGGUGAAAUGCGUAGAUAUAGGAAGGAACACCAGUGGCGAAGGCGACCACCUGGACUAAUACUGACACUGAGGUGCGAAAGCGUGGGGAGCAAACA
rnacentral:rRNA from 1 species